UGUGACUAAAGGAUCCAACUUGAAAGUGAAUUGAAGUAGUUGGGAAAGUGUUAUUGAGAAUUGGUGAUGAAGCAUGCACUAAAUUAAACAUACUUGUGUGUUAAAAUGUGGGUGUGAUUAAUCAAGUGGUACAGGAUUUGUCUGAACCAGUGUGCUUGCAGAUAAUUAUUAUAUCAGUUCAUCAUGCUGCUUGUGGUUAUCUCCUUAUAUGGUGUUGAAAGAUACUUUAGGCACUCUGUAUAAGUUCUCUUUCUUCCAUUGCAGGGUGUGAAUAGAGCAUUUCCUUUUGUUUCUAGCGAUGAAUCUGACAAGAUUAUUGAAACCCAGACGCCAAUCUUAUUUCAGCUGGUUCAUUCUAGGAGCUUUAAUGUGGGAGUUCAAGCAUUAAUGCUUCUUGACAAGAUCUCUACCAGAAAUCAAAUUGUUAGUGAUAGAUUCUACCGAGCCUUAUAUUCAAAACUCUUGCUACCAACUGCCAUGAACUCUUCAAAGAGGAAAUAUUUAUUGGGCUACUUCUAAGGGCGAUGAAAAAUGACAUCAAUCUAAGGAGGGUCGCUGCUUUCUCUAAGCGUUUGUUACAGGUUGAUGGUGGAUUGUAGUAAACCUGGCUAUGAAGCUCUUAGAAGCUACUUCGAUUAUGGACUUCGCCAAUUCAUGCAAACAUGAUACUCAUUAUAUAUCGGCAGAGGGUCUAUCUUAACAUUUGUUAUCCCUGGCAAUUUUGGUUGUACAUAUUAAAGCCUAA